GUGCCUAAGAAAUGCAAGUCGAGCGGGGGAGCAAUCCCUAGCGGCGAACGGUCGCGUAACACGUAGGCAACCUGCCCCAGAGACCGGGACAACACGCCGAAAGGAGUGCUAAUACCGGAUGCGACCGCCUGAGGACAUCCUCGGGCGAUUAAAGCUCGCAAGAGGCUCUGGGAGGGGCCUGCGGCCUAUCAGCUAGAUGGUGGGGUCACGGCUUACCAUGGCGACGACGGGUAGCUGGUCUGAGAGGAUGGUCAGCCGGACUGGGACUGAGAUACGGCCCAG
rnacentral:rRNA from 1 species